GUUUUAAUAAUUUAAAUAAAAUACUGGUCUUGUAAACCAAAAAUAAGGUUCAACCCUUUUAAAACU
rnacentral:tRNA from 1 species